GUGGGGAAUCUUGCGCAAUGGGCGAAAGCCUGACGCAGCCAUGCCGCGUGAAUGAUGAAGGUCUUAGGAUUGUAAAAUUCUUUCACCGGGGACGAUAAUGACGGUACCCGGAGAAGAAGCUCCGGCUAACUUCGUGCCAGCAGCCGCGGUAAUACGAAGGGGGCUAGCGUUGCUCGGAAUUACUGGGCGUAAAGGGCGCGUAGGCGGACAGCUUAAUCAGAGGAGAAAGCCCAGGGCUCAACCUUGGAAUUGCCUUUGAUACUGGCUGUUUUGAGUUUGGGAGAGGUGAGUGGAACUCCGAGUGUAGAGGUGAAAUUCGUAGAUAAUCGGAAGAACACCAGUGGCGAAGGCGACUCACUGGCCCAAUGCUGACGCUGAGGCGCGAAAGCGUGGGGAGCAAACAGGAUUAGAUACCCGUGUAGUCC
rnacentral:rRNA from 1 species